UUGAAUGAAAAUAUCAUUGCACAAAUGUUGCCAACAAUGUCAUCACUUCUCCUUUUGGCAUGGGAGAAGGGUUUUUAAACAAAGUGAUUAUUACUCUGACUUAUGAACAACUGUAGGAACACCCACAGCGACCCAAUUGUGUCAGAUCCCGCCAGGGAUGACAAAUGUCAGUAUCCUUUGCAUCAGCAACUUCCCCACUCUGAUUGACGUGGAUAAAACCUCCACUUCUG
rnacentral:lncRNA from 1 species